UCCAGACUCCUACGGGAGGCAGCAGUGGGGGAUAUUGCACAAUGGGGGGAACCCUGAUGCAGCGACGCCGCGUGGGUGAAGGAGCGUUUCGGCGCGUAAAGCCCUAUCGGCAGGGAAGAAGGAGGACGGUACCUGACUAAGAAGCCCCGGCUAACUACGUGCCAGCAGCCGCGGUAAUACGUAGGGGGCAAGCGUUAUCCGGAUUUACUGGGUGUAAAGGGGGCGCAGACGGCAGCGCAAGCCAGGAGUGAAAGCCCGGGGCCCAACCCCGGGACUGCUCUUGGAACUGCGCGGCUGGAGUGCAGGAGGGGCAGGCGGAAUUCCUGGUGUAGCGGUGAAAUGCGUAGAUAUCAGGAGGAACACCGGUGGCGAAGGCGGCCUGCUGGACUGCGACUGACGUUGAGGCCCGAAAGCGUGGGGAGCAAACAGGAUUAGGUACCCUAGUAA
rnacentral:rRNA from 1 species